rnacentral:rRNA from 1 species
AUUGAACGCUGGCGGCAGGCCUAACACAUGCAAGUCGAGCGAGCGGCGGACGGGUGAGUAAUGUAUGGGGACUGCCCGAUAGAGGGGGAUAACUACUGGAAACGGUAGCUAAUACCGCAUACUAUCGGAUAACCCAUAUGGGAUUAGCUAGUAGGUGAGGUAAUGGUUCACCUAGGCGAAGCUCCCUAGCUGGUCUGAGAGGAUGAGCAGCCACACUGUGACGGAGAAACGGCCCAGAGUCCGACGGAGGCAGCAGUGGGGAAUAUUGCACAAUGGGCGCAAGACUGAUGCAGCAAUGCCGCGGGUAUGAAGAAGGCCCUAGGGUUGUAAAGUACUUUCAGUCGGGAGGCGUUACCAGCAGAAGAAGCACCGGCUAACUCCGUGCCAGCAGCCGCGGUAAUUC